rnacentral:lncRNA from 1 species
GUGGCCAUACCCAUGGUGCUGGGGUAAAAAGAAUGUUGUCUGUUGCAGCAAGGGUCAGAGUAGGAGAAGAAUAGGUUGUGCUUUCUCCUCUCGGCACAUUUUCAUGCAGCAGAGGUUUAACCGGAUCUGCUUGGCAUCUGGCGAACUUGGCAUUUCCUGUGUCACAAAACAAAUUAAAUGCUAUCAACAUAGUCAGCCAAUGUGAUGACCGUCUUAACAUCAAGAAAAAUCAAGAUUCCUAUGGACCAUUGUUGCGGGAAAUAUUAAAAAAUGAACCCAUCAGUUCUCCAUGGGGCCGGAUCACACUCCUGCACUCUUGCAGCUGCCGUCAACUCUCUCCAUCUAGCCCCUACAGCAUCUGGCUCACUUGCCUCAGGAGCAACUAGUUCUUCCUCAGCGUAAAUUCCACAUUCCGGUAACUAAAUGGAACCACCAACCUCAAGGUUGGAUAACACA